rnacentral:rRNA from 1 species
CAAGGAUUCCCCUAGUAGCGGCGAGCGAAGCGGAAGAGCUCAAAUUUAUAAUCUGGCACCUUCGGUGUCCGAGUUGUAAUCUCUAGAAGUGUUUUCCGCGUUGGACCGCACACAAGUCUGUUGGAAUACAGCGGCAUAGUGGUGAAACCCCCGUAUAUGGUGCGGACGCCCAGCGCUUUGUGAUACACUUUCAAUGAGUCGAGUUGUUUGGGAAUGCAGCUCAAAUUGGGUGGUAAAUUCCAUCUAAAGCUAAAUAUUGGCGAGAGACCGAUAGCGAACAAGUACCGUGAGGGAAAGAUGAAAAGCACUUUGGAAAGAGAGUUAACAGUACGUGAAAUUGUUGGAAGGGAAACGCUUGAAGUCAGACUUGCUUGCCGGAGCUUGCUUCGGUUUGCAGGCCAGCAUCAGUUUUCCGGGGUGGAUAAUGACGGUUUGAAGGUAGCAGUCUCGGCUGUGUUAUAGCUUUCCGUUGGAUACGCCCUGGGGGACUGAGGAACGCAGCGUGCUUUUUGCGAAAGACUCGUCUUUUUCACGCUUAGGAUGCUGGUGGAAUGGCUUUAA